rnacentral:lncRNA from 1 species
UAAAUUUCUUAUAAGUCCUACUUUCCUUGGUAAUAUUCUGAAAAAGGAUUUGAAUCCCAUUUAUGAAACUAGUUUAGCACCUAAGAGCGAACUACAUCUCUUGACAAUGGGCCCUUUACCAACAGAAACCUCACCGGGUGAAUCAGGAUUCAGGUUGGUCAUAACAUUGCUUCUUUUAAAUUUAGAGGGAAAUUAUGAUGACUUUUUUUAUUUUUAAGUAAUAAUAUUUUAAGCUAUGUUAGGAGAAUUUGCAUGAUGUUGCAAGUAUUAUUUGGCCACAGGUCCAAUAUAUUCAAUGAUAAAAGGAACAUUUAUAAUGAAUCAGGAGUAACUUAUUUUUUUAUCUAGUAAAUCAUGAGUAUGAGGCCAAAUAAUCAACGAAAGAAUGUGAUUCAAAAAACUGAAGUUUAAUUUACAUCCAUUGCAUGCAUUAUAGUGCUUUAGAGAUCGUUGAAGGAUCAAGGCAACUAACAGAAAAUGAAAAGGCAGCAAUUAUCAAGUAGUUAUCAUAUCAAAAUUUUAAAGAGUUCACACAUGUGGGUGUCCACUUAUUGUCAAAAUCAAUCUCAUUCAGCACCAUCAUUUCUCCACUUUUCUCCUGCACUAAAUGCAGGAUGAAAUGUGUACAUGGUAGCAGUGCUCAGCCUGAGAGAUAAUCAGAUGGCCGAUCGACAAUACCUUCAUAUAUCUCGAAGAGGGACUCUUCGGAUUCAAGGAUGCUUAGCUAUAGAAAUUAAGAGGUGAUUUUAUACAGAUUAACAAUUUGAAAUUUAUGUUUACAGAAUUAGUUUCAAUGAGGAGAUCUAAAAUUAGAAAACCCAUCAAAACUUUAAGGUC